ACACGACUCUCGGCAACGGAUAUCUAGGCUCUCGCAUCGAUGAAGAACGUAGCAAACUGCGAUACUUGGUGUGAAUUGCAGAAUCCCGUGAACCAUCGAGUCUUUGAACACAAGUUGCGCCCGAAGCCAUUAGGCUGAGGGCACGUCUGCCUGGGCGUCACGCAUCGCGU
rnacentral:rRNA from 1 species